AAAAGUCGUAACAAGGUUUCCGUAGGUGAACCUGCGGAAGGAUCAUUGAACGAGCCCCGAAGUGACCGUGAACUUGUCUCCGUGCUCGCGGGCGAGAAAUUGUGGUUGCGCGCCGCGCACCGGACUCUCCCGCCCUCUAAAACCCCCCCAAGGCGCCGAGACUGCGCCAAGGAAAGAAGUGAUCGGGAGCGGCUGGAUGUUUGGUAUCCUACUACGAUUCCCUUCUGGAGCGCGACGAGCGCAUCCGAAAAAGAGUAAUGAAACGACUCUCGGCAACGGAUAUCUUGGUUCUCGCAUCGAUGAAGAACGUAGCGAAAUGCGAUACUUGGUGUGAAUUGCAGAAUCCCGUGAACCAUCGAGUCUUUGAACGCAAGUUGCGCCCGAGGUGAAUCCACCAAGGGCACGUCUGCCUGGGCGUCACACAUCGCGUCGCGCUCCCCCCCGUCCCCCACCGCCAGCCAUGCUCGCGUGGUUUGGACGCGUGCGUGUGGCGGGGGGUUGGGUGCGGAUGUUGGUCUCCCGUGCGCUUGCCCGCUCGGCCGGCCUAAAUGUGUCGCGUUCCGUUGGCAUCGGACGCCACGAGCGAUGGUGGUUGCCUCUUCUGUCGACUUCGCACGUCGUGGCGCCGAGAGGCCUUCGUGUCUCGCGGCGGGAACUCCCCUAUAGGUGACGCGAGGCACUCUGCUGCCUCCGCGAGCCCCUCGGCCGCGACCCCAGGUCAGGCGGGACUACCCGCUGAGUUUAAGCAUAUCAA
rnacentral:rRNA from 1 species